CUACGUAGGGGGCGAGCGUUGUCCGGAAUGAUUGGGCGUAAAGGGCGCGUAGGCGGCCCGGUAAGUCUGGAGUGAAAGUCCUGUUUUUAAGAUGGGAAUUGCUUUGGAUACUGUCGGGCUUGAGUGCAGGAGAGGUAAGUGGAAUUCCCAGUGUAGCGGUGAAAUGCGUAGAGAUUGGGAGGAACACCAGUGGCGAAGGCGACUUACUGGACUGUAACUGACGCUGAGGCGCGAAAGUGUGGGGAGCAAACAGGAUUAGAUACCCUGGUAGUCCACACUGUAAACGAUGAAUGCUAGGUGUAGGGGGUAUCGACCCCUUCUGUGCCGCAGUCAACACAAUAAGCAUUCCGCCUGGGGAGUACGGCCGCAAGGCUAAAACUCAAAUGAAUUGACGGGG
rnacentral:rRNA from 1 species